rnacentral:rRNA from 1 species
UACAGAGGAGCCAAGCGUUGUCCGGAUUGACUGGGCGUAAAGCGCACGCAGGCGGACGCGCGCGUGGGGUGUGAAAUCUGGCCGCUUAACGGCCAGGCGCCAUCCCAUACGGCGCGUCUGGAGCAAUGCAGAGGUCGGUGGAAUUGCCGGUGUAGUGGUGAAAUGCGUAGAUAUCGGAAGAACAUCAGUGGCGAAAGCGGCUUCCUGGACCAGCACCGACGUCAGGCACGAAAGCGUGGGGAGCAAACAGG